GACGAACGCUGGCGGCGUGCUUCACACAUGCAAGUCGAACGGAAAGGCCCUUUCGGGGGUACUCGAGUGGCGAACGGGUGAGUAACACGUGAGUAAUCUGCCUUUAGCUUUGGGAUAAGCCUCGGAAACGGGGUCUAAUACCGGAUAUGACUGGGCUCUGCAUGGGGUUUGGUGGAAAGUUUUUCGGCUAGAGAUGAGCUCGCGGUCUAUCAGCUUGUUGGUGGGGUAAUGGCUCACCAAGGCUUUGACGGGUAGCCGGCCUGAGAGGGCGACCGGCCACACUGGGACUGAGACACGGCCCAGACUCCUACGGGUGGCAG
rnacentral:rRNA from 1 species